rnacentral:lncRNA from 1 species
CCACAACCUGCCACACACUAUGACUGAGCCACCCGGCGGCGAAAUCGUCACACAUACGCCACGACAAUGGCUCAAGUCAAGCGGCGGUAUAAUCCACAAACCGGCAUAACCAUCCGGCGGCGAAAUCGUCGCACACGCCACGUCAAUGGUUGGCCCCGGGCGGCGAAAUCGUCGCACACACCCCACACCACUUCGGUGUGAUCCAAAGCUCUGGGAUUUCGGAAUCUAUUUUCCAUAACUCUAGGGUUG